rfam:TPA: Bos taurus chromosome 14, whole genome shotgun sequence.
UCCCAAGUGGCUUAGUGGUAAAGAAUCUGCCUGCUGAGCAGGAUAUGCAGGUUUGAUCCCUGGGUGGGGAA